CCCUUAGAUGUUCUGGGCCGCACGCGUGCUACACUGAGUAAAUCAAUGGGUAAGGGAACACGAAAGUGCAACCUAAUCUUGAAAUUUGCUCGUGAUGGGGAUCGACGGUUGCAAUUUUCCGUCGUGAACGAGGAAUACCUUGUAGGCGCGUGUCAUCAUCACGCGCCGAAUACGUCCCUGCCCUUUGUACACACCGUCCGUCGCUCCUACCGAUUGAGUGAUCCGGUGAGGCUCUGGGACCUGGACGGAAAGAGCGUUUCGCUUGUUCUGUUUGGGAAACUUGGUCGAACCUUAUCAUUUAGAGGAAGGAGAAGUCGUAACA
rnacentral:rRNA from 1 species